UACGGAAGGCAGCAGUGGGGAAUAUUGCACAAUGGGCGCAAGCCUGAUGCAGCCAUGCCGCGUGUAUGAAAAAGGCCUUCGGGUUGUAAAGUACUUUCAGUCGUGAGGAAGGUGUUAAGGUUAAUAACCUUAGCAAUUGACGUUAGCGACAGAAGAAGCACCGGCUAACUCCGUGCCAGCAGCCGCGGUAAUACGGAGGGUGCGAGCGUUAAUCGGAAUUACUGGGCGUAAAGGGCACGCAGGCGGUUAAUUAAGUUGGAUGUGAAAUCCCCGGGCUUAACCUGGGAAUGGCAUUCAAGACUGGUUAGCUAGAGUCUUGUAGAGGGGGUAGAAUUCCAUGUGUAGCGGUGAAAUGCGUAGAGAUGUGGAGGAAGUACCGGUGGCGAACGGCGGCCCCGUCGGACAAAGACUGACGCUCAUGUGCGAA
rnacentral:rRNA from 1 species